rnacentral:rRNA from 1 species
CCCGCUGAACUUAAGCAUAUCAAUAAGCGGAGGAAAAGAAACCAACAGGGAUUGCCCCAGUAGCGGCGAGCGAAGCGGCAAAAGCUCAGAUUUGAAAUCUGGCCGUCCUUGCGGCGGUCCGAGUUGUAAUCUGUAGGGGAGUAUUCUGGGCGACGCGCGCUGCCUAAGUCCCCUGGAACGGGGCACCAUGGAGGGUGAGAGCCCCGUAAGGCGGCGGGCGGCGGACUAUGUGAAGCUCCUCCGACGAGUCGAGUAGUUUGGGAAUGCUGCUCUAAACGGGAGGUAUAUUCCUUCUAAAGCUAAAUACCGGCCGGAGACCGAUAGCGCACAAGUAGAGUGAUCGAAAGGUGAAAAGCACUUUGGAAAGAGAGUGAAACAGUACGUGAAAUUGUUGCAGGGGAAGCGCUCUUGACCAGUCGCGCGCCAGGGGAUCAGCCGCCGUUCGCUCGGCGGCGCACUCCCCUUGGUUGCGGGUCAGCACCGGCUUCCGCGGCGGGAUAGAGACCCCGGGAAUGUGGCCCUGCCUUCGGGCGGGGUGUUAUAGCCCGGGGUGGAAUACCGCCUGCGGGGGCCGAGGAAUUCUGCGCCCUCGUGGCUAGGAUGCUGGCAUAAUGGUCAUCAGCGUCCCGUCUUGAAACACGG